UAAUUCAACUCAGCUCGGAUAUGGAUGCC
rnacentral:piRNA from 1 species